ensembl:lncRNA
CAGGUUUCUGUUGCUCUUUCCUGUAGCCAACAUGGGGUUACUGCUACCAGGUUCUAACCUUGCUUUGUUGAGAAUGUCAGGGACUGGAAGGGACCUUGAAAGAUCAUCUUGUCCAAUCCCCAUGCUGGAGCAAGAACAUCUAGAAAUGUACCCAGAUACUGAAAGGUCACUAUCAGGCCACCUCUGAGCCUUCUCUUCUCCAGCCUCAACAGCCCCAGCUCCUUCAGCCUAUCCUCAUAGGAGAGGUGCUCCAUCCCUUGGAUUGUUCCUGGCCCCCCCCCUCUGGAUGAACUUCAACAGGUGCAUGUCUCUCCCCUACUCUGGACUCUGCAUUUGGACACAGAACUCCAAGUGAGGUCUCACUGGCACAAAGCAGAGGGUCAGGAUCACCUUCCUUGACCUGCUGGUCCUACUUGUUUGGAUGCAGCCCAGGAUGUGGUUGCCUUUCUGGGCUGUGAAGGCA